CCUACGGGAGGCUGCAGUGGGGAAUAUUGCACAAUGGGGGAAACCCUGAUGCAGCGACGCCGCGUGAGUGAAGAAGUAUUUCGGUACGUAAAGCUCUAUCAGCAGGGAAGAAAAUGACGGUACCUGACUAAGAAGCCCCGGCUAACUACGUGCCAGCAGCCGCGGUAAUACGUAGGGGGCAAGCGUUAUCCGGUUUUACUGGGUGUAAAGGGAGCGUAGACGGCAGCGCAAGUCUGGAGUGAAAUCCCAUGGCUUAACCAUGGAACUGCUUUGGAAACUGUGCAGCUAGAGUGCAGGAGAGGUAAGCAGAAUUCCUAGUGUAGCGGUGAAAUGCGUAGAUAUUAGGAGGAACACCAGUGGCGAAGGCGGCUUACUGGACUGUAACUGACGUUGAGGCUCGAAAGCGUGGGGAGCAAACAGGAUUAGAUACCCGAGUAGUC
rnacentral:rRNA from 1 species